CUAAUAAUUACACUAAUACCUAGAUUUGUGUGUUGUAAACAAGUACACCCCGUGCAAAGAAUACUGAAAUCAGGGACAAUCCCAUCCAUAUUUGCAUGGACUGUGGCCACAACACCAAGGAAACCCCCCUUGAUCCUAUAUGCCAGAACGUCGUAGUUGUGAGGAGAACCUGAUUCCAGAAGGAGGUGUGAUGGACAUGAGACUGAAGGGAAUGAUCAUGCAUCCCACACAGCAUGAGGGGUGUGGGGCACAAUUUGAAAUAAAGGAGACGCAGGUCCAUGUUGAACGACUUGAGAGGGAGUACCAUCUACUCAAUAAUCAUCUGGCUCUUGAGAAUUUUGGAGUAUCAAGAACUAGAACUUACCUGUUUCAUGCAAUAUUAUAUUUCUUUACUGAUUGUGAUACUUUCAAGUGAUGUUUUUAUUUUGAUAAACCCAGUGCCACCAAAAUGUGUAGCAUGUAUUAUGUUUGUUCUGACACUGUUUCCUUUGCUGGAAGACCCAGGACCAUGCUGUUGAUUGCACUGAAAUAGAAAUUCAAAUCCCAUUGUCCUUUGUCCUCAACUCAAAAGUUUUAUACACUUUAGAAAACUAGCUGUCCACUCUGAAGCUUGAUUGGUAUAGCCCCUCAUGAUCAUGUUUGUCUACAGGUGGUAUGUCUGAUGUUGAGAUGACAAAGCUGUGAAGUGUUUGGUAUUUUUCUUGAUCUUGUUCAACCUCACUCAGAAACCCUCACUUCAAAAAAAAUUUGAAAAUACAUUGAAGUUGUGAAGAAAUACAUGCAGAUGUCAAUUGUAUGAAUGCCCAUUGGCCCAUGUAAUAGUUAUUCUACAAAUAGUUGAAACACUGACAUUAAACAGAUGUGCCAAGUGUGUUUGAGGGUAACCUUGUCUUACUCUAAUGAGAAACACAAAUAAUUGGUCAAACAAUGACAAAGAACAUGGAAAUCCACAGUGUAGUUUGUCAACAUCAGUGCCUCUCUGAAACUGUGUCCAGGUUUGCAUCUUUGAAGCAGUAGGAUAGAGCCUCUGAAAAAAAUGAUCUAGCUCAUUGAAAUCAGCAAAACCUGUAUAAAAAUUGAUGUCCACAGGACUGGUAGCGAAACGCCUUAUAGAAAAUAAUUUUGCAGACUGAACAUUUACACAAUUUUGUAAGCGUUUUAUCUCUGCAUGUGCAGAAGCUAAUUUUUCUUCAGUUGUGGCGUGUUGUUUCUCAUGGUAAUCAUGAUCUGCUGUUGGGUGGGGAGUAGACGUUUGGGUCGGGUCACUGGCCGUAGUCGAAGCCAGAUCUGCAGUGUCAGCCGGUGUAGGCAUUGUUGGUACACAGUCCAUGCUAUCCAACCUGAAAAGUGUAAGUCACGGAACAUUUCAUAUUCCCUCGUAAAUAAAGCAUAUCCUAGAAUAGUAAUUUUGGUACCAUAAAAUAUAUUAUCAGGGAUGUGAGCAGGUUUUCCCUCAAAAAGAGGAAAACUUUUGGGGGGUUCACAUAAAUACUUAUACUUUUGAUUGCAUUUUAAGCAAUUUGGUGCAUUUUGGACAACACUCACACAAAGAAAUGUAAUAAGUCAAUGACAAUAGUCAAGUCAAAUAAACAAAGAUGGCGGAUGCAGUAAAAUUUUGAAGUUAAAUCAGUACUUUUAAAAAAUUGGACAUAGCUUCCGCGCACCUGUCUGGGAGCAAUACUGCCAUUAUUAUAAUAAGAAUAUAUUUAUACAUUAUUAUAAUCAUAAUACAUUUACAGUGUCACACACUGUACAGUACAUGCACUGGAAUAGAAAUGAAUGAUUAAAUAAAAUAUUAAUGUCAUGACAAAUUAUGAUUACAACUAUUUUAGUGAACUGUAUAUUAUAUGUAAUAAUUGAUAUGAUAAUAAGAGAUAGUCAAAUCAAUACCUUCUGUCCUGGACCUUGUUGGUUGGUCUACUCUUGGUGGCACUGUUCCAUCUAAAAAUACAUGGAACAGCUCCUGGAACAAGCCUCUUUUUGUGCCCUCCCAGACCUCUUUUAAUUUCACAUUGCUUGAAGUGGUUAGAGCAUACAAAAGUAAUAUUGCGACCAAUCUGAAACAAAAAAAAUUAACAUCAAUAAACAUAUUUAACAAUGUAAUUAAGUUUCUAUUAUUCAAAAUAGUGAAGCUGUAAAAAAUCUUAUAUGUAUAUAACCAUUAUUACAAAAUCUAUGGCCAUAAAAUGUUAAAAGUAGCAUACAUAAGGUAGAAGUUACCUGUAUAUUACCUUAAUGUAUGAACAUUUUCAGUACAAGGAUUGCUGAAAAUAAACCUGACUUGCAGGAUAGCAAAACGACCAUAAUCAUAACAUUUCAUUAACCGGUAGUAUCCUUUAAUCAAAAUAAUAUUUACAUUUUUUUUCAGGCAGCCAUAGAGACAGACAUGCUUAGUCAAUAUAGAUCAAUAGGCCUAGGGCCCAAACCACAAAUAUUUAUUACAUAACUAUUUCUCAAGUAUAAGGUCGACUAUUGUGUCAGUGUUACUUACUGGCAUUGCAUUCAAAUAAAUCUUUCCCCAGAUUAUCAACAUUUAAAUAAAUAAUACAUUUUUUACAUAACAUUAGGUUUGCCGUCUGUUUAUGUCAACCCAUUUGAUGAAGUUCGACACAUGUACCACUACAGACAGGCUGCUUACCUGGAAGAAGUUGCUCACAUCUCGACGUAUGGCUGCGAUCCAUUUCCUCCUGAGAUGCUUGUCUUUAGGAAAAUUGAAAAAAGACAAUUCCGAAGAAACUGCUUUUCUCCGAUCGCUCGUACAGAAUGGGACCGAACAGUGAGCCAUUACUUCCUGUGUGUUGACACUACCUGUAUAAGCAGCGAUGCUCUCCAAGCCUCGCUUUCAAACCGGAAGUACCGAAGUGUGAAAAAGGUCAAUUGACCAUGAUCUGGGCCGGUGUUGAAAUCCACACUGGUAUGAUAGCUUCAUUAUGUGCUGAUCGAACAGUCGUUGACUGACUGUGAUUCAAAUCAGCUAUUAAAUCCCAUGCUGAUCCUAAGUUGACCACCAACCAUCACUCAAAACAUUGGUGAAAUACAUACCACUGGUGGGCAAAAUGUUUUGCAUAGCCCCCACAAUCUCCGACCAUCUGCUAUCAAAACCGAGUGUGAGCAGACCAAACCGACAGCCAACUCACUCCUGUCACUGACCUCGGAGCGUGUCGUGUCCUUGGUGAAACAGAUCCGAUGAAUGGAGAUUUGUUUCCCCCCUACGCUUCUUAGGUUCCUUGAGAAACCCCCUUGGCUGGAUAGGGCAAGGCAAUCGUAACCAAUUUUUCCUUCUUUUUGGCUGCCUCCUUCCUCUUAGUAGUCGGCUAAGAUUUGGCCAACUUCCCAAAUUCCUCGCUAGGGAGAGAUAAACAUUAGAAGCAUCUCACAUUUUCUGUGUUUCAGGAAACCGGUAGCCUGCACUUUCAACACAAGUCAUGUCUACCCCAAGCCACCCACACUUGGUGCAGGCAGGUGGAAUGGACAUCAUCUUGGAAGCCCACCAAACUAAGCUACCAUAGAGCCAUUCAGCAAGCAUAGAUUGCUGAAGACCUAUUCUCACCCUGGUCUUCACUGGUCGCCAGUGCUCAAGGAGGGCUGAGUCCCCUUGUCAACCUGGCCUUAGGUGUCAAAGGUUAUGUGAAAGGUUGAGUAUGACGGAGGUUGAUAUGGUGUCUUCUGUGUGUACAGGGAACCCAGGCUGGUAAUACACAUCUGUAGUGCCUGAUCAGUGGCUUUGGCCUGAGCAUUAGAGAGAGAUUUCUCAUAAAACUUGUUCGUAAAGAGCUUCUCGGAUGACCAGGGUUGACGUAAUAAGUCAAACACAGGAGACGGGCGCCAACCAACCUUCUCAAUUUUGGCCUGGCAAACCAUAAGGAGGAGGGAGCCCGUGGUUUGGUAAGGAGUUGAGCAAUGAGUCCUCCUGGAGAUGAAUGUUUUCAUCUAGAGCUGAGAGCAAUUCUCUCAAAAAUAUCCAUCUUCCGCAGGCCAAUCCGCUUAACCAAAGUAGACUGGGCAGAAUCUGGAAAAAUGUACAUAUUAAAAGUGAUGGAGGCAUUUCAUGUUUACGACUGGCAAACAACUCUUCUGGACGUAUUGAUAUGUUCUAAAUUGAUUUAGGGGGUUUGCCAAGUUGUAUUUUCAACGUUUGACCCACAAAUUUCAUAAAUGCAAAAUGGCCACAACCGAAACUUAAAAAUUCAUUUUUGUCUUAUCUGUGGUACCAAACAUGCUAAGAACAUAAACAAAACAUAAUUUUGUAUGUUUUCAGGUACAAUGUGAUAUAAAUUGUCCUAGGCCGUCACAUGAAAGAAUCUGGCCUGUGUGAGUUGUGGAUAGAAUGUAAUGUAUUGGGUGCCAAUGCAGCUCAGAAUGUGAUGUCCGGCAAAGGCUAUGGUCGUGCAAUGCGAACACACAAACUAACUUUGCAGGCUAUGUGGCAAGUACUGCUCCCUCAACUCAAUGAACAUCUGGACUCUGUUGAUGUUGAGCUUAGGAAAGACCUUAAAUCUUUUGGGACAUUGUCAGACACUGAAGAUAUUGCACAUAUGGUAGACACCCUGGCAUCUGAGAGGUUCCACCAGCCAAUCCUUAAUUUCAUCAAACUCCUAAAAGAAGAAGACCCGAAUGCAGAAUUCUGGUGGGAAUACUUGAUGAUUGUCAGCAUCUUACUUGAUUUUACCAGGGCACAGUGUGAUGGAUCAUGGGAACUCCACUUGUAUGCUUUCAGACGUAUGCUCCCUUUUUUCUCCAGAUAUGACCAUGUAAACUAUGCCCGAUGGGGGACGGUCUACCUGGCUGAAAUGGCCCAGCUCCCACCAAACAUCUUGCGUGAGUUCCAGCAGGGAAAUUUUGUGGUCAAACAUGCAAACCGACGAUUCAAUCAAGUUUCUCCAGACCAAAGUACAGAAUGGUUGAAUGCCAUUGGGAAAUAGAGUGGGGGCUUGGUCGGCAUCACCAAAGUAGCUUCUGCACUAAGCCAAUGGACUCUGUCAUAUAACCUCAGGACGCUGAUGGCAUCACAGACUAAACUAAUGCUCCAUGAAACAACAGAUGAUAAUGACGACAUCUACACUCACAAUGAGUGUACCAAAGGGAGAAGGACGAAAGAUGAUCGAGAUGAAGCAAGACUGGUUACGUCGCUGAAGCAACAUGGGGUCUUCCAUAACAAAGUAGCGACACUACAGAACAUGAUCAACAAGGAUCUGGCCACCGUUCCUAUCCAAGAGUCGUUACUUGGAGCAGAAUAUCUUGGCAAAAAGCAGCUUGACAAGUUUGUUACGGAACGUAUGUGCCUAGCACCAGCAAAUGACGAGCAUGUCGAUCUCAAAGCUCCCAUUCACAAGAAUAAGGCUCUGACAUUUGCCUCACUUUACACUGUUAUGCAAGACAUCAAAGGCAAACAAUGUACAAUAAAGAUGGACAGAAACAUUUUGCAAAGGCUAAUAACAUCUUAUAGGGCAGGACGUGAGGUCAACUUGGACAACAUCCUCCAGCAUGAGCUUAUGUUUGUUCUGCUCUUGCCACAACCAGCGGCAGCCUGCACUCAACGAACAAGUCUGUGCUAGCCAACAUAUUGACCAAGGAUGUACUGACAUCAUCACCCGUUGCACUGGAUGGACCAAGUUGCUUGCUGAUUGAUGGUCAGGCACUAGUGAUGGCUCUCGGAAAACCCCGAAACAUAAGCACAUUUGGAGAAUAUGCAAAAGCAUUUGCAGACGUUGUGUACAAGAUGGGAGCCAACUUUCAGAGGAUUGAUGUUACGUUUGAUCGCUACAGACCAGAGUCAAUCAAAGCAGGAACGAGGACCAAGCGUAAGAAAGGAAAACAACUAGUACGACAAUUUAUUGAAAGUGAGUCAGUUCCGCUGCCAUCUGAUUGGUCCAAAUUCAUGGCACUUGAAGAUAACAAGGCAGAUCUUGCCUUGUUACUGUCCAACUAUUUGAUAGAUCUUAGACCUAGUGGUCAAACAGUGGUUGUUGCAGGCGGAUUCACCGAAGCUACGGUUGCAAAGUCAUCAGAUCCAAAACUAGAUUUGUCUUUGAUUGAUCAUGAUCAUGAGGAAGCUGAUACACGCCUAAUUUUGCACUGUAUUCAUGCUCAUAUGGAGUCAAUGAUUGUGUCUGUAUGCGACACAGAUGUCCUUGUGUUGCUCCUAGCUCACUUCAACAAAAUGGGAUGCACGAACCUGCUGAUGAAAGCUGGAACAUCAAAACAUCCUAAAUAUACCCCAGUACAUGAGAUUCAUGUCAAUUACCCAUCGACCAAAUAUCAUCACUGAUAGCUUUCCAUGCAAUUACUGGAUGUGACAGUGUUUCCCAACUCAGUGGUCACAGCAAGAAGACGGCCUGGCGUGUCUUCCAGCAUCAACACAGCAACUUGAGCCAUCUGGGAAUGGGUAACUUCACCGACGACAUCUCAAAAUCUGCAGAGAAGUUCAUCUGUCAGCUAUAUGGAGUACACGAGGCAGACACGUGUGACGAGGUACGAGUUAAAUUGUUCUGCAUAGGACGAGCACAAGAAGCCUUUACCCCCACAUCUGAUGCGGCACGAUUUCACAUCAUGAGAAGCCAUUACCAAGACAGUGUCUGGAUUCAAGCCCACAUUCUUUCCAUGGUAACAGAUAUGGGUUGGGAUCGCAAAGAUGGGCAGCUGGUACCACGACUUCUUUCUCUACCGCCCAUCCCAAAAGCUUGCUCAGAGAUCAUGUCAUGUGGAUGCUCCAAGGAAUGCCUGAGUAAGCUCUGUAGCUGCAGGAAAAUGCGCUUACCGUGCAUUGAAGCUUGCAAAUGUCACAAGCACGCCGAAGAAUGCAGGAACAUUCUACCUGAUCAUACAUAAACUAUGUCACCAAGUGGCCCUCCACACACAGUUAUGUAAAAUUACAACAAUUUAAAAUAAAAGAUAAAAAGUUUCAUAUUUCUGCAAUGUUAUAUAUGCAUCAUGCAUGGAUUGAUAUUUAAUAUGAAAAAAGUUAUAGAGAUAAGAUUUCACAUUCACUAUGAAGCUCAUUCCUAUACCACGUUGAUCAGUGACAAGACUGUGUUAAUUUUCAUGAAAAAUGGUAACGGUG
rnacentral:lncRNA from 1 species